CCACAUGAGAGCAGGCAUCAACGAGCACCAUCUCGUAGUCGCGAGCGAACUCGGGGCCUUUCCUUUUGCUGUUCUGGAUCACGUCAUUGGCGAGUUUCUCCCUAUUCUCCAGCAGACACUUACCCUUCUUCAGCUCCCGGUGCCACACUCGGACGAUGACCGUCGCCGGACGGCAGAUAAAUAACGCUAUACGCCCAUGGAGACAAGACUGCCCCGUUGCCAAGGCGAG